UGGGGAAUUUUGGACAAUGGGCGCAAGCCUGAUCCAGCCAUGCCGCGUGCGGGAAGAAGGCCUUCGGGUUGUAAACCGCUUUUGUCAGGGAAGAAACGCGCUGAGUUAAUACCUCGGCGUAAUGACGGUACCUGAAGAAUAAGCACCGGCUAACUACGUGCCAGCAGCCGCGGUAAUACGUAGGGUGCAAGCGUUAAUCGGAAUUACUGGGCGUAAAGCGUGCGCAGGCGGUUGUGUAAGACAGAUGUGAAAUCCCCGGGCUCAACCUGGGAACUGCAUUUGUGACUGCACGGCUAGAGUGCGGCAGAGGGGGAUGGAAUUCCGCGUGUAGCAGUGAAAUGCGUAGAUAUGCGGAGGAACACCGAUGGCGAAGGCAGUCCCCUGGGCCUGCACUGACGCUCAUGCACGAAAGCGUGGGGAGCAAACA
rnacentral:rRNA from 1 species